UAUCAAUGAGGACAAACCUGCAAUUAGGAACAGGAAUGUUAUGACUGAUUCUAUACGCUAUUCUGAGAUAUGU